CCUACGGGUGGCAGCAGUGGGGAAUUUUGGACAAUGGGGGCAACCCUGAUCCAGCCAUGCCGCGUGCGGGAAGAAGGCCUUCGGGUUGUAAACCGCUUUUAUCCGGAAAGAAGGAGUGCAGGUUAAUACCCUGCAUGACGGACGGUACCGGAGGAAUAAGCACCGGCUAACUACGUGCCAGCAGCCGCGGUAAUACGUAGGGUGCGAGCGUUAAUCGGAAUUACUGGGCGUAAAGCGUGCGCAGGCGGUUCGUUAAGUCAGCUGUGAAAGCCCCGGGCUCAACCUGGGAACUGCGGUUGAAACUGGCGGACUAGAAUCUGGCAGAGGGGGGUGGAAUUCCACGUGUAGCAGUGAAAUGCGUAGAGAUGUGGAGGAACACCGAUGGCGAAGGCAGCCCCCUGGGCUGAGAUUGACGCUCAGGCACGAAAGCGUGGGGAGCAAACAGGAUUAGAUACCCUUGUAGUC
rnacentral:rRNA from 1 species